CCUUUGACGUCUUCCCCCGGGAGGUGGCGGGGGUCUGCGACCGAAUGCCGGCGGGACUCUGGGUCAGGGCUUCUGGCGGGCCCUGCGGGGGGCAGCGAGGUGACCGUGAACCUGCGGCUCAUGGCGCGGAAAGGAGCCAGGCGGCCGCGGCAAGGUCCGGGAUCGCACAAGUGGCUGCAACCAGGCUCUAGGAGGGAGAAAGAGCGGAUCCCCCAACCCCCUCCGCCCGCCCGCCCCCCGCGAGACGCGGCGCCGCGCAGGGUCCUAGUGCCCGCUGUGCGAAGGGUUCCUGAAUCUGGCCACUUCGCUGGGAGGCCCUGGGCUCCCCAGUGCCACCCGAAGGGCCUGAGGAGGCCAUCUGCAGAAUCUCACUCUGUCGCCCAGGCCAGAGUACAGUGUCAUGAUCUUGGCUCACUGCAACCUCCACCUCCCAGUUCAAGAAAUUCUCCUACCUCAGCCUCCCAAGUAGCUGGGAUUACAAGGUACCCACGACCGUGCCCAGCUAAUUUUUGUAUUUUUAGUGGAGAGAGUUAUUCACCAUGUUGGCCAGGCUGGUUUUGAACUCCUGAUCUCAGAUGAUCCACCUGCCUUGGCCUUCCAAAGUGCUGGGAUUAUAGGCAUGAGCCACCAUGCCCAGCCUCUUGUUUCUUGACCUGGUGCUGGUUACACACUUGUGUUCCAUUUGUGAAAAUGUCUUCAAAUGUACACUUAUGAUAGAUACAUUUGUAUAUUUAUUAUAUUAUGGCAAUGGUUCUCAACUGGGAGCAAUGUUGACCACCAGGGAAUGUUUGGCAAUAUUCAGAGACAUUUUUGGUUAUCACAACUGGAGCAGGGGCUAGUACCAGCAUCUAGGGGCUAAAGGCCUCUUGGGCCCUCUAGGUUUGUACCAGGGCUGCCUGGCCAUGAGUCACAGUUCAACAUUACCCUGCUGCACCCCAUCCCCACACUGGGGCCUUCCUUAGCAGAGAGGGCUGACCCUGAAUGGGCCUGGCAUCUGGCCGUGGAUCCUGUCACCUCCUAGAGGAAGACACCAAACAUGCUAGAAGGUACAGUGUAGAUGUACAGUGUAAGACAAUCCCCCACAACAAAGUAUCCAGCCCAAAAUGUCAAUAGUGUAGAGGCUGAGAAACCCAGUACUAGAAAAGAAGUUUAAAUAACUGAUUCCUAGAUUUUAGGACUGAUUAGGUGUUCAGUUUGAUUGAGGGUGGAUGAUGCUGUCUCUUAUUAAAGUGGUAACAACAGAGGAGCACGUUUGGAAGGUGAAACCCAGGAGUCAGUUUGGACCCGUUAGGUUGAGAGGUCUGUUUGCCAGCUAAGGAGCCAUGUAGAGUAGGCAGUUGAACAUGAGUCUGGAGCUCGGGGCAGGGGAGAGGAGGUUAUGGUAGGAAACAUAAAUUUCACGGUCUUUAGCAGAGAGAUGCUAUUUAAGGCUGUGGGCUACCAGACAUCACAGGGAAUGAGUAUACACAGAGCAGAGGAUUCCCACGAUUGAGCACAAGGGUGCCUCUGUCACCAGAAGAGGAAAAUCCACCCAGUGAGGUAGGAGGAGACCCAGAAGUAAGGUUCCAGAGGCCGAGAGUUUCAGGAAGAAGGGCAGGAUCCACUGUGUCAAUGUGGGGAGAGUUGGUGUGGGAUGAGCAGAGAGGAGCUCCUGUCACAUCUGGCUACAAGAAGGUCAUAAAUGGCUUUGAAGAGGGUGACUUUGGUGGUGUAGUGGGGUGGGAGCCAGGCUGGAAAUGGCUGAGGAGAGAAUGGGAAUUGAGGAAGUGGAGACAGUGAGUAGAGACCAUGCUUUUGGGAAGUUUUAUUGUGAAUAGGGAUAGGAAGGUAGAGAAAUAGACUAGUAUCUAGUGGGAGGCAGGGGUUAAGACAGAUUGUAAACAAGCCAUGGCGGGGAAUGUUUGUACGCCAAGUGGGAGUGGGUCAUUUGAGCAAGAAACAGAUGAAAGAGGAAGCUCAGGAGGGCAGUUUUCUGGACUCCUACUUAAAUUCCCACGUGGGCCCUGAUCAAACCCAUCAUCUCCACUCACGGGCCCCAAUCUUUCAGUCAAGUCCCUUUGCUAACCUGUAAGGUCAAAUUCAUAUUCAGCUUGGCAUUCAGGACUUCUCUCAUCUAGCCCAAACUAGCACUGCUAUCUUAACCAUUCUGGAAUCCUCUCCAUUCCCUCUUAGCCACCUGCUACUACCCCAUGCUGGAGUUCUGAGCCAUUUGAAGUUCUCCAGACACCCACUGCUUUUUCUCUUCUUUUUCUCUUCGUGCACUUGCACCAAGAACCCACAUUCAAAUCCCACUCUUAUCACUCACUAGCUAUGAGACUUUGGGUGAGUUGUAUAACUCUCUGUGCCUUAGUUUCCUUAUCUGUAAAACAAGGGAUUGGUGAUGGCAGUAAUAAUAGUACAUACAAAGUAAUAGGAGUACCUAUCUCCUCUGGUUGUUUUGUCACACAAAAUGCACAUAGAACAGUGCCUGGCACAUAGUGCUGUACCGUGGAUAGCUACUAACGUCAGGUAUAUGAUCCAUAUUUUAUUUAUCCACUGACUUACUCCUGGGCAGCUAGGUUAUUGCCAGUUUUUCACUAACAAACAAUGCUGCAAUCAACAUCCUUCUAUGUGUUGUCUUGUGCACACAUGUGAGGGUCAGAAAGUAGUUACAUUUUUAGGUUUAGUGGUUCUUGGUAAAUUACCCUGUAAGAAGAUUGUCCCUUGCACAGGAAGAAGCUCGUUCAUCCUUUCUGAUUCAGUUCCGGUUCAGAUGUCAUCUUGACUGAGAAACGUUCCUGGACCUCAACCACAACACAGACACACACACAUGUGCACACACACACACCAUUAUUGUAGAAUAAAAGAUCAUGCACUGCACACUCCCCAAGUGUGAUCCCACCGCCACCAGCCAUAGAAUCACCCUUGUAAAUAGGUCAGACUCUCUGGAGGUGGAGCCUGGAGUUGCAUUUUAAGCAAGUUCCAAGGGGAAUCUUAUGCAUUCUAAAGUCUAACUCAUUUCUCUAUCCCCAUUGCCCAGUACAGGGCCUGGCUCCAUGUAGGGGCUCAAUAAAUGUUUGAUGAAUGAAUAAACAGGUUGAUCAUUUCCUUGACUGUAAAAUAGAAAUAAUCACAUCAUACUUUCCUAACAGGAAUGAUUGAAUAUGUUAACAUUUACAAAGUGCCUAGAACACUAUUUUUUUUUUUUUUGAGACGGAGUCUUGCUCAGUCACCCAGG
rnacentral:lncRNA from 1 species